CGCGAACGGCUCAUUAUAACAGCUAUAAUUUACUUGAAUUUGACAACCCUACUUGGAUACCGGUGGUAAUUCUAGCGCUAAUACAUGCACCAAAGCUCCGACCGCGAGGGAAGAGCGCAUUUAUUAGAACAAAACCACACGGCUUCGGCCGUCCAAUGUUGACUCAGAAUAACUAAGCUGAUCGCAUGGUCUUGCACCGGCGACGUUUCUUUCAAGUAUCUGCCUUAUCAACUUUCGAUGGUAGUGUAUCUGACUACCAUGGUGAUGACGGGUAACGGAGGAUAAGGGUUCGACUCCGGAGAAGGGGCCUGAGAAAUGGCCACUACGUCUAAGGAUGGCAGCAGGCGCGCAAAUUACCCACUCUCAGUACGAGGAGGUAGUGACGAGAAAUAACAAGACCGUUCUCACAAGAGGCCGGUCAUUGGAAUGGGUACAACUUAAACCCUUUAACGAGUAUCUAUGAGAGGGCAAGUCUGGUGCCAGCAGCCGCGGUAAUUCCAGCU
rnacentral:rRNA from 1 species